UACGGAGGGUGCGAGCGUUAAUCGGAAUUACUGGGCGUAAAGGGUGCGUAGGUGGUUAUAUAAGUUAUCUGUGAAAUUCCCGGGCUUAACCUGGGGUGGUCAGAUGAGACUGUAUGACUUGAGUAUAGGAGAGGGCAGUGGAAUUUCCGGUGUAGCGGUGAAAUGCGUAGAGAUCGGAAGGAACACCAGUGGCGAAGGCGGCUGUCUGGCCUGAUACUGACACUGAGGCACGAAAGCGUGGGUAGCGAACAGG
rnacentral:misc_RNA from 1 species